UCUCCGUUUUGAUUUUAAAUUUUUAUUUGUACGCCCACCGUGAUUGUGACGAAAGAAAGAAAAUGUUUGCAAACAAUUUCGGAGGACAAAAAAAUAUUUGCUGUGGUCUUGUGUUUGAUGCGGGGAAACGUCCAAUUCCCCUGAUAUCAGCAGAUGUCUGUGCAACGGUGAUUCAUGCUGCGGCUCAAGUGGAAAUAACACAGUACUAUGUAAACAACGAGGAACAACCAAUCGAAGCAAUUUAUUACUUUCCUGUCGAUCCAGAUGCAUCGGUUACCAAUUUCCAGGCCGAGUUGGAUGGCAGAGUGAUUAAAGGAACCGUGAAACCACGAGAUGAAGCUCUAAAAGUUUAUGCUGAGGCAAUAGCUGAUAAGAAAACAUCGUUUCUGGGAGAGGAGACAACCAGCGAUAUAUUCAAACUUCGAGUGGGUUUUCUUAAACCAGGCACUCAUGUGAAGAUCUUCAUCGAAUAUAUGACUGAAGUAAAAAACGAGCCGGGGACCAACAACAUCCGCUUUUACAUACCGACGACAAUUGCACCACGUACCUUCCACAGGAACGGAUAGCCAGGCAAUCGAUAUUGAGAACAUGCAGUUCUCGAGCUCAUCUCCGGCACCAUUGUCUAUAAAAGUAAAAGUUUCCAUACAAGGUGGCAUAAAGGCAAUUGAGAGUCCAACGCAUAAAGUGACCGUGCAGACGUCAGAACUAAUUUCUGAAAAUGAUAAUUACCACAAGGCUGUUGUGGAAUUGUCAGGACAAACAACGGACAUGGAUCGUGAUUUUGUGUUGACUAUUCAACCAGGGGAGAAACAUAAGCCAAGAAUGUAUUCAGAGACGAAUGGCAACGAUAAUUCGACUGCUGUAAUGAUUCAUUUGUUACCCAGUUUCAAAUUGUGCGACCUAAAGCCGGAGCUAAUUUUUGUGCUUGAUAGAUCUGGAUCUAUGAUGGGUAGAAGUAUCGCCUUGGCUAGGGAAGCACUUUUGCUAAUCCUACAUUCCUUGCCUGCUGAUUGCUACUUUAAUAUAGUAGGAUUUGGAUCGACUCAUACAUCUGUGUUUCCCACCAGUGUAAAGUACGAUGAAGAAAAUUUAAAGAGAGCGAAAGCGCAUGCAAGGGCUCUGGAUGCCGAUAUGGGUGGUACAGAAAUUCUUGCACCUCUAGAGGAAAUAUUCGGUCAACCAGAAAUCGAUGGUUAUUUCAGGCAAAUUUUUGUUCUGACUGAUGGCGAGGUAUCCAAUCAGAACGCUGUAGUCGGAAUUGUACACGCCAAUGCGCACAAAGUACGAGUAUUUGCUCUUGGGAUUGGCGAUGCAGCAUCCCACGGUUUGGUUGGAGGUAUAGCAAAAGCUGGCGGUGGUACGGCUGCCUAUGUAACGUACAACGAGAGUGUAGAUAAGAAGGUUCUUGAUCAACUGAAAAAUGCGUUGCAACCGUCAUUGACUGACAUCCAUUUGGAGUGGGAUGGUCUGUCUCCGAUUCAAGAAAAACCGACUAUUCUUAAUAAAACGAAAACAUUGCUCGGGUAUAACAAACCGAUAGAAUCGGAUGAAUUGACAUCAGAAACGUCUCCACGGAUUAAACAAUCGCCGGAAAAGAUUCCGCCGGUGUUUGAUGGGUCUCAAUUGAUAGUGUUCGGAUUGUUUAAAAAUGAUUGCCCUAAGUCGGUAUUAAUCACCGCACAAUCACCAGACGGGCCCCUUACUGUGAGAGUAGAGCAUUCUCCAUCAAAUGUCCAAGGAGAUGUGCGCCUACUAUUUCAUCGUCUUGCAGCUAUAAGACUAAUUCGCGAUUUGGAGGCCAAAGAAGAUUCGGAACCGAAAAAGAGCUUGAAGCAAGAAAUCAUAGAUAUAGCAUGCCAGAACGGUAUCACGUCUAGCUAUACCUCAUUCAUUGCUAUUGAUGUAGCUGACGAGAAACAGAUGUUGGCGAAUUGGGUGAUGGAAACAAGAUUUAUACCUAACCAAUUAGCUCAUGGGUGGCACGGCGGAUAUGAUCUAUCGGCAUCCUAUGAUCGUGCAUACACUUUACCGGCACAUUGUACUUUGCAAUCGGCUGCGACAAACGGCUGGUUUUCUUCGACUUCUGUUAUCAAAUCCAAAAUCCAGUCAAUAGCAAAAAACUUUUUUGAAAGAUCUGACCCCAACGACACACUAUCCGAACGGCAAAGAAGGCUGCAAGCCACAAUAGUCCAAACUGACGAGGUUGUGGAUAUAAUGAAGACUAAUGUGGAACGAGUUCUGGAACGGGAUGUUAAACUAUCGCCAUCAGAUGACCGUUGCGACUGUUUAUCGCCAAACUUUUUUGUACGAUCCGAUGUCAAUGAUGCUGCACAUGGAUGUUCUUCAUCGCUUUUGAUGAGCCUCAUUAACAUUCAGUCAUACGAUGGAUCAUUUAUUUUGAAUGAAGAUCUGGUACCGAUCCUAGGAAAAUCAUUGACAGAAAUGGUGGAAGCGUCCAACAAACAUAAUUUGUCUAAUCAAGUUUUUGCGACAGCUUUGGCUAUAAGCUUUUUCGUUCAUAACCUGGCUGAUGGAAAGGGAAAAAUGGGAUCUCAUUGUCGCUAAAGCUCGAAAAUGGCUAAAUGCAACUGUUCAGCCGGAGAAUGUGGACAGAAUUAUUGAAUUGACAUCUGAGUUCCUUAAAUCCCAAUAAUUGACGAUGGUUUUUCGGUGGAAGAUUUUGCUUGCUGAAGUAUAGAUUACUUCUCAAUUAUAAGACAAAAAAAGUAGAUCGAAUCUAUCAUAGAAUUACACUCGAGAGCUGACUUGGGUAGAUUGCGAUUUUCCCUUAUAAUUAUGAGUUGGAGUGGAACUUGGAAAUUAGACGUGGAUACGCCAUAUACUUUAUGUGGAGAAGUUACCUUAAACUUUUCAGUUGUACGUCGCUGUCAAUUUUUAACGUGUCUGGAUGCCCGAGGAAAUUUGGGGUACCGAUUAACAUCAAA